rnacentral:rRNA from 1 species
UGGGGAAUAUUGCACAAUGGGCGCAAGCCUGAUGCAGCCAUGCCGCGUGUAUGAAGAAGGCCUUCGGGUUGUAAAGUACUUUCAGCGGGGAGGAAGGGAGUAAAGUUAAUACCUUUGCUCAUUGACGUUACCCGCAGAAGAAGCACCGGCUAACUCCGUGCCAGCAGCCGCGGUAAUACGGAGGGUGCAAGCGUUAAUCGGAAUUACUGGGCGUAAAGCGCACGCAGGCGGUUUGUUAAGUCAGAUGUGAAAUCCUCGGGCUCAACCUGGGAACUGCAGCUGAUACUGGUAAGUUAGAGUUUCGUAGAGGGGGGUAGAAGUCCAGGUGGAGCGGUGAAAUGCGUAGAGAUCUGGAGGAAUACCGGUGGCGAGGGAGGCCCCCUGGGCGAAGACUGACGCUCAGGUGCGAAAGAGUGGGGAGCAAACGGG